AUGGGAAGAAAUGACUCUGAAAUGGGUCAUGUGUGAUUACAUUUGAUUCCAUUUUGAGUCUUUGUGUAUGUUAAUCUGCAGUACGCAUUUUCUUUAAUUUUUAUCCUUUGGUAACAAUAUUUGUCAUUAUUCUAUACAAAAUAGUUAAAGACUUUUUUUUUUUCUUUUGAGAGAGAGUCUCACUCUAUCCCCUAGGCUGGAGUGCAUCAACUGUGGUCUGAAAAUAUUACAGUAUUUUGAGAGACAGAGAAACUAUAUUCACAUAACUUUUAUGACGGUGUGUUGUUAUAAUUGUUCUAUUUUAUUAUUCGUUGUUGCUAAUCUUUUACUGUGCCUAAUGUAGACAUGAAAACUUAUUAUAGAUAUGCAUGUAUAGGAAAAACAAUUCACAUAGAGUCAUUACUAUCCAUGGUUUCAGGCAUCCACGGGGCGCUUGGAACAUAUUGCCCACAGAUAAGGGGGACUGCUAUACUUGAAAAUCGAAAAAUGUGACUUACAGAGUACACUUAUACAAAAAUACCAACAAACUGAAAUUAUGAAUACGUUCAGCUUUUAACAUAUGUUUCAUACUCAAGUGGCAAAAAAAUGAAAAGAGCUCACUUUUAUAGUUGAAAC
rnacentral:lncRNA from 1 species